UGUUUUGAAAUUAAGCUUCAUUUCCGGUUCCCGUUAUGCUAGUAGCUUGAUGUAUUGGAAAACUGGAGUGUUACGAAAGUGAUCUCAUUUGUCAUCUGCUGACAGAUGUGUUACGGCUGCCCACCUCGACAGCUUCAAUGGAAACACAGUGAAAGGUCAAAGUUGAAUAUUUUUCGUCAUGCAGCUGGAAGCUCAGCUGCGACUAUGUCAGAGUUGUAUUUGGUAUUACAAGAGCGGACUGCGGAUGCUGUCUCUCAGCUCUGCACAAAG